ACUUAAAUAGCUUAUAUUUAGAGCAUUACAUUGAAGAUGUAGUUGAGAUUUUUUUAUCUUUAAGUA
rnacentral:tRNA from 1 species